AGAGUUUGAUCAUGGCUCCGGACGAACGCUGGCGGCGUGCCUAACUCAUGCUAGUCGAACGAGAAACCAUGCCUUUGAUUCCUUCGGGAUGAUAUGGCUCGGUAGUAUUGUGGCGAUACGGGUGAGUAACGCGGGGGUAAUCUACCCUGCAUGUGGGGGAUAUACCCUCCGAAAGGAGGGCUAAUACCGCAUAUACAUCUUCCCUUCUUUUGAAGGAGAGAUUAUUGAUGGCCUCUUUAUAUGCUUUCACUGUCGGGAUGUGCUCCGCGUCUCUUUUUGUUAGUUGGUAGGGUAAUGUGCCUACCUAGACCUCGAUGGGCAGCCGUGUCUGAUAUGGAUGUACUGUUCUCCUCUGUGUUUCUGUAUAUUCAGUCCCUGACUCCUACCGGU
rnacentral:rRNA from 1 species